rnacentral:lncRNA from 1 species
UUAGGAGACCAACGGAAUUCCAAAUAAUAUAAAGUUGAGAAAUAAAAAAAAACUGAAUUUUAAAAUAAAAAAGGAUCAAAAUGCAUUUUAAUUAUAUUAUAUUAUAAAAUACAAAUAAAAUAACUCUCUUUAAAGUAGUAUAUAAUUAUUUUAUAAAUAUUUUUAACACAUCCACGCACUCACAAUUAGAAUAAAUGCACUUCCGUUUUAAAGGACGGUGACACGCUCUCUUUAGACAAUCAACGUCGGUUUGGCAAGGGAAUGGAGAAACUGCGAUGUAAAAAACCCAUAUUGUUCAAUUUAGUGAUCAAGUAAUGUAUAUAUGAUAAUAACAAUAAAUUUUAAAAUUAUGAGUAAGUGACUUACAGGUUUGGAGUCUAGCAUUGACGCCAAUGAUUACAACAAGAAACAAGAAACAAAAUAUUAUGAAAGAAAAACCACAUCUUGGAAUUUUACCCAUAUAUUCCUCUUAAGCAUCUAAUAAAUUGAAAGUUUUACUUGAAAAGUAUUUUUUAUAUAGUUUUUCUAAUGAUAAUUAAUUAAGCAGAUGUCAUUAAUUUAAAG